rnacentral:ncRNA from 1 species
CUACGGACUUAGACAACUGAGCCUUGCUGUGAGAAAUCCUUCAAGUGUAAGCUCUCAAAUUCAGGGAAACCUAAUUCUAUAUUUUUAUAGAUAUGGCAAUCCUGAGCCAAGCCAAAGAAAGUAAAAAGUGCAGAGUAGUCGUGCUGAGUGUUUUUAACUCUUAACUCGUAACUCUUAACUCCUAACUGAUUGGAAGGUGCAGAGACUCGACGGGAGCUACCCUAACGUUAAGCCGAGGGUAAAGGGAGAGUCCAAUCCUUAAAACCUACAG